AAAUGCUGCUCCUAGUGCAAAUUCCUCUUCUCUCUCCCUCUCAUGGAGAGAUGAGCUGAUAUACUGUUUGUCUUCAGGAGCUUCUUCUCUCCUCUUGUAGCUUUUCUCAACCUGAGGGUACUAUUUCCAGAUAAAUUCUUAAAAAAUUGCUGGUGUCUCCACUGCAACAAUCCUGGGGAAGGUAUUUCUACGGCUCGCAGUGCCUUUUUGCAUGGAGGAGCAGUUGUGUAUUUGAUACGUCUUCAGAAGUCACGUAUUUACAAAGUCAGAUGCUGACAUCAAACACUUACCAGCCUUCGUCAUUUGAGGAAGAUGCUGCAUCCAUCACAUGAGGUUUUCCUGUUCAAGGCUGGUUGAACACUGACACGUGCUCCACGUCUGGCAGAGGGCUUUCCUGGAGGGGGAAUCCUAUCCUACUGCUGUGCAGGAAGGGGGGUUUCUGCAGUGUACAGCCACGUAAUGAGACUGGGUGGGCGAGAGCUGGAGUUAUAGGUAGACCUUUCUGCUCACCUAUAGGUACACUGUCUUAGAGUGCUGGGUGCUCUGUUCAUGUCUGACAACCUUGAACUUUGCCUGCUAUGAUGCUCUGGCAAGUACAAGCAUGGCUGAAGUCUCUGACAAGGCUGUGCAUGACUUGUGGAAACACUGGUAGCUGUUUCACCUAGGCUUUAGCAGAUUAUUGAAUGUACUUGCAUGCUGAUCAUUGCGUUUGCCCGAGCCUUGUGGGAGCUCCUGGGGCCCAGGAUCCUGUCCUAUCCCUCUCACUGAGGCAUUUGUGAGUCCUUGUAGGAAGGCUAAUUCAGAAGAAUCCACUAAAAAGACAGGUCCAUAUUCCAGAAGGUCCUUUGUCAUAGUUCAUUGCAUGAGAAAAAAGAUAGGUUUGCUUUACCUUCCCUGUGUCCUCAAGGAGAGCCGGCUAGAAGUACUCAGGUGCUUGUUUCUGCAAAACUCAGCUGCCUCCUUGCUUGGGCUGCAAACCCCUGGAGGAUAUUCAUCUCACCCUGGCAGAGCUGAGCUAUAUUCAGAGUCUGGAUGUUGCUGCAGUGCCCUUAUUAAGCUUUUUGAGGCUAUUUCAGAAAAGGUAACUGCAGUGACUGUCAAGUGUGUUUGAAUUCAGGUGUGACACUGUGACUACAGGACAGCAAGGAGUUCAUUAGCUUUUCUGGGAUCAGGGAAGAUGUGCCCUAUUUUUUUUGCUGCUUGACUAUGCACAAUGGUUGCUGAUGAGAAACAAGAAUUCAAGGAAGAAGCUGAGGCUGGAGGGGCAAACAUUGUUCAGCUGGUGCCAGAAGCAAGGCUCUGUAAUGGGUUUGAGUAAUUCAGGCAGCAAAGGGUCAGUGAUGGAAGAUCUCAGGGGCAGAAGUCUGAUGCUUCCAACUUGAAAUUACCAGUUUCUGGGCAGCUGAGACCUCCUGCUUCUGCUGCAGUUGCUUCAAGGGGGCACCAUGUGGAGGCAAAAGCUGGCUUGUUUGCUGUGUUUGGCUAGGCUUGCCUGGAGUGUACAGAACAUGGCAAAUUUGACUAAGAGGUACUUGGCUAUUAUGGGAUCUUUUUUUUUUUAUUAUUAUUAUUAUUAUUUUUUUUAAGUAUAAGUGAUUAAACUAGUGCAGGUUUGUUUUCCAUCUGGUGAAUCUUUCAUCAGAUAAAAGACCAAGAGGCUUGGUGGCUGGCAUUUGGGUUUUUCUCAUGCUUUUGUUCUGGAGUUUCAGUAGAAGGGAGCUGAGCAAGCAGACUCUUGUGCGAGUACUACUGUUAAUGCAGCUUUGUUCAUUUCAUCUUAAGGUCUGUUUCUUCUGAUAUGGGAAUGGGGAGAGGUGAACCUAAACUACUGAGGUAAAGAGAAACUGAGCUUGUAUCUGUGUUGUGGUACAGUUUUAUUAGUUAUGAGAACCUAAAACAUAGCAACUGUGGUGACUUGGACAAACUGCUUCUAAAGCAGCAUCAGUGUAUUAGAGUUGAAUCCUGAUCUGGGAAGUGGUGGACAAAGCUGAGAUGGGAACUUCCAGCAUUUCUUUUCCCUCUCCAAAUCUGGCUUUAAUAAAACUGGGCUGAAACC